AUACGGAGGAUGGAUAUAAGGGCAUACGGUCUAGAGGGUGCUGGUGGACUGUUUUUAAGAGUUAUUUUGGUUCAACUGCUGCAGAAGAUUCUAGAUUUUUCCGCCUCCAGCUGUCCUGCCAGGUACCACAACACCAAGUCCAUGUUGUCCUGAGAGAUGCAGUUUUCCCCUGACAUCAAAUCCGGAUGCACCCUUAUCCAGGAAGCUGGGCGUACCUACAACUACCGCCACUCUUGUUGUCAGGGAGUCAUAGAAAAUGCAUUGAGCACCAUGACUGCAAGGAUGAGGAUUCUUAUUCGGCCAAUCGUGUGUACCACUGCUAAAGAGGCUUAAUGACGUUGACCUGUGUGGCCCUCCACAACUACCAGUCCUCCACGGAUGAAGUUCAUGAACCAAACGCAGAUUUACAUGCCUCCCGCUUUUGCUAACACUGCCGUCCCGUCUGGCAGCUACCAACCUGGAGAGUGGAGGAGGGUUUGUGGCAGGGGACAAUCAUCUCCAAGAGCCAGGGAGACUCUCGUGCCAGGGUGACACAGCUUGCAAGCAAAACAAGAAAUAAGCCCAGGGACCUUCUUCCUCUCCCCCCUGGACGUGUGCCAUGGCAGGAAGACAUGGUUAGGAGAGGACAACUCAGCCCAAGGCCAGCUAAUCAGAACAGGCCUUUGUUUUCCACUGCUCACCAUGAUGGAUGCAGUUCUUCACUGUGAACCAAAGUACUUUGUACUAAAAUGUAGAUUUUUAAUCUUGUUAAUAAAAUGAAAGUUGAUUCUA